UGGUGAUGAUGAUAAAACUUAGGCUUGUUUCUCAAAACAUUCGCAGUUGCUGCGUAAGAGCUUUCGCCCUGCCAGGCUUGAGAGCUAAUGCUGCCAAUUCCUUCCUUGGAUGUCUGAGCCA
rfam:Hordeum vulgare subsp. vulgare, WGS project CAJW01000000 data, contig: morex_contig_236155